GACAGAGGUGCCGAGCGUUAGACGGAAUCACUGGGCUUAAAGCGUGUGUAGGCGGAUCUGUAAGUACCCUUGUGGAAAUCCCACGGCUCAACCGUGGAACUGCUUGGUAUACUGCGGGAUCUGAGCCACCUAGGGGCAAGUGGAACAAACGGUGGAGCGGUGAAAUGCGUAGAUAUCGUUUGGAACGCCAAUGGUGAAAACAACUUGCUGGGGGUGUGCUGACGCUGGAGAACACGAAAGCCAGGGGAGCAAACGGG
rnacentral:rRNA from 1 species